rnacentral:rRNA from 1 species
UCGGGAAUUUUGGGCAAUGGGCGAAAGCCUGACCCAGCAACGCCGCGUGAAGGAUGAAGUCUCUCGGGAUGUAAACUUCGUAAGAAUAGGAAGAAUAAAUGACGGUACUAUUUGUAAGGUCCGGCUAACUACGUGCCAGCAGCCGCGGUAAUACGUAGGGACCAAGCGUUGUUCGGAUUUACUGGGCGUAAAGGGCGCGUAGGCGGCGUGGUAAGUCACUUGUGAAAUCUCCGAGCUUAACUCGGAACGGUCAAGUGAUACUGCUGUGCUAGAGUACAGAAGGGGCAAUCGGAAUUCUUGGUGUAGCGGUGAAAUGCGUAGAUAUCAAGAGGAACACCUGAGGUGAAGACGGGUUGCUGGGCUGACACUGACGCUGAGGCGCGAAAGCCAGGGGAGCAAACGGGAUUAGAUACCCCAGUAGUCCCUGAGCGGGCUGGCAAGGCGCAU